AAUGAAAUUUUUUCUUUAUGUAAAGCAAGUAAAAUCUGUUUUUUUUUUUCAGCCAGCAGCUCACUCAAUGGAAAGACUCAUUGCAAGACUGGUGACAUGUGAAAGUCCAAAGGACCUGAUUCCCACAGAGGGGACCAGUGUUCACCAGCGUUCAUCGAUGCAACCAAUUGGGGUAGUGUGAGCAACACCUCUGGAGGACUCACAGAGAGUGGAACCAAAUACUUUUGAAUCAAUGAAUCAAGGUUUUGUGUAGGCCAUUAUGAUGGACAUCAGCAUGUGUGCUGCAGCCAUGCAGGACUCUUGUGUUCAACAGUACAGUCAACAGGGAGGUCCAAGUGUUAUGAUGUAUGCAGUAGUGUCUAGUUGCCAUAAAACUGAAUGCAGUGAUAUAUUUCUUUAGAUGCUCUGUAAAUAUGUACUUUGAAAUCACCCUGAUUAAACAUAUGAAUGCAAAAACACAUUUUAUUUUCAACAACGUCAUCAAAAUGAUUCAUUUUGAAGAGCUGUUAGUCCCCAGAGUAAAACAACAGGUCAUUGAACAACCUUUAUUGAUUCAUCCCAAUAAACCCAAAUUUUAUUGUCUGUGCUGAGUGUUGAAAUCUAAAUAAUAAGAAUUUAAAAUUAGCAAACACAUUUUUUAAUGAAGACUAAAGGGGAAAUAGCAUUUCAUUUAACGUUAAUUAUUUUUUUAUUUUGGAUGUUUUUCUUGCAAUCAAUAAACAGAAACUCAUACUAUUAACGAAAAACAUCACUAUAUAAGUUGCUUAUGAAUUUCACUGGAGUGUUGUGGCAUGGCAUGACCUCCAAGGUUAGAAAUGAUUAUGCAAAGAAGGUGCCAUUACCUACCUUGAGAGGACAAUACAUUUCUGAAGUGUGGGAGUACUAGCACCACUUUUACAUAUCAUGGUGGCAAUCUGUGCAGUGAUUUUAUAUUCCAGUAGAGAAUCAGUGUUGUUAGAAUCUCCCGAAAGACAUGUUAUGAGGAAACUGACACUUUUUAGACCAUUACCUUUUUAAUUUCCUAAGCAUUUUUUCUGAUGUUUCAUAUAAUAUUGGUUUUAACUGUGAUCUUGUCUGAUUUUUUUAGAUUCUUCAUCUUAUUUUGAAAUGGUGCCACUCUGAUUCACUCCUUCUUAUAUAGUUUCUGGCUUGUUCUUUUAUGAACUGUUAUGUUUAUCACUUUGUGUGGUCACAGGCCCUGUCUGUGCUAUUUGGAAUUUCAAAUGCAAGGAUGGAUGUCAGUAAAAUACCUACUGUGUGAUUGUAACUGGAGCCUGAAAGCGAUUGUGAUUUGUUUUUACCUUUUAAUAAAUACUAUACAGUUUAUACCUGUAUACUUGUAAGGUUCAUGAUAUAAUUCCAAUUACUUUUGAUAAGUAUUUUGGAAUUGUGCAUGUUCUAAAGUUGUUGUUUUAGGUUAUUAUGGUUACAGUUUUUUUGUCAAUGUUCUGUCCGUGAGCUCAUUCCAGUUGUUUUUGUUAUUUCUGCUAGUAGAUCUGAUCAUAUUCUGUCGUUGUACAGGAAGGUGUCUUUAUAUGAAAUAAUGAUUAAGGCUAUAUGUGUCACCAGUUGAUUUAUAUAAGCAUGUCCACUCAUCUGUUGGCUUUAUUCUCUUUUUUUUGUAUGUAUCAGAGUUAGAGACAAAAUUUUAGUGCUUGUACUUUUCUGAUUGAAAAAAGCAGAACUAGUCUCUUGUGGUGCAACAGUCCUUUCAACCGAGAAUAAGGAGAAAGUUUCUAAAUAAUGUAUUACCUUGCUGUGACAAAACCACUUGUUUUCACCAGAAU
ensembl:lincRNA